CCGCGCUAGGUGGGGAGGCAGCGGUGCCCUGUACCCGCAAUCCGCUCUAGCGGGACUGAAUCCCUUUCCGAGGCCGGCUGCUUGUAGGGCCAGCCUUAAGUAAGUGGUGUUGACACCCGGGUCCUGCGCAAUGGAACCCCGCGAACCAUGUCAGGUCCGGAAGGAAGCAGCAUUAAGCGGGUCAUUCCAUGUGCCGCAGGGCAGCCUGGGUCGAGCUAACUGCUUAAGUAACGCUUAUGAGGGUCGGUCGAAGAAAGGUGCGCGG
rfam:Bacillus coagulans 36D1, complete genome.